rnacentral:rRNA from 1 species
UACGUAGGGUGCGAGCGUUGUCCGGAAUUAUUGGGCGUAAAGAGCUUGUAGGCGGUUUGUCGCGUCUGCUGUGAAAAUCCGGGGCUCAACCCCGGACUUGCAGUGGGUACGGGCAGACUGGAGUGUGGUAGGGAGACUGGAAUUCCUGGUGUAGCGGUGGAAUGCGCAGAUAUCAGGAGGAACACCGAUGGCGAAGGCGGGUCUCUGGGCCGAUACUGACGCUGAGGAGCGAAAGCGUGGGGAGCAAACAGG